rnacentral:rRNA from 1 species
GACGUAGGGCGCGAGCGUUGUCCGGAUUUAUUGGGCGUAAAGAGCUCGUAGGCGGUUUGUUGCGUCGGCUGUGAAAUCCCGAGGCUCAACCUCGGGUCUGCAGUCGAUACGAGCAAACUAGAGUGUGGUAGGGGAGACUGGAAUUCCUGGUGUAGCGGUGAAAUGCGCAGAUAUCAGGAGGAACACCGGUGGCGAAGGCGGGUCUCUGGGCCGUAACUGACGCUGAGGAGCGAAAGCGUGGGGAGCGAACAGG